rnacentral:rRNA from 1 species
UCCUCUUCGGAGGACAAAGUGACAGGUGGUGCAUGGUUGUCGUCAGCUCGUGUCGUGAGAUGUUGGGUUAAGUCCCGCAACGAGCGCAACCCUUGAACUUAGUUGCCAUCAUUAAGUUGGGCACUCUAAGUUGACUGCCGGUGACAAACCGGAGGAAGGUGGGGAUGACGUCAAAUCAUCAUGCCCCUUAUGAUUUGGGCUACACACGUGCUACAAUGGACAAUACAAAGGGCAGCAAAACCGCGAGGUCAAGCAAAUCCCAUAAAGUUGUUCUCAGUUCGGAUUGUAGUCUGCAACUCGACUACAUGAAGCUGGAAUCGCUAGUAAUCGUAGAUCAGCAUGCUACGGUGAAUACGUUCCCGGGUC